UCCCUCACAGAAAGUUCUCCCUUACAAAAGCUCUCUCUCUCUAGAAAGAUCCCCCUGAACCCCUAAAGCGACCACUGUCCGCUAUCUAGGAGCCUCUUUACUCCUCUCAGCGCCGCGUGCUCUCUCUCUGAUUCGAAUUCUCUGAUUUUCGGCUGCUGAAAGGAACCGCGCACGACCACCAAGCCGCACCACACCUCUGUUCCACUGUAUCGGGCCUUUUAAAGGCUUAAACGACCCAAUUAGAACUUAUUUAGGAGUCCUAAUCAAGCCCAAUCAAGCCUCGGACCGUUGGAUCGUCACCGCAAUCAACCCACGCCCUCCGAUCGCGCAUCGGUCCACGAAACAGUGCCGUGGACUACGAGAAAUACAUGGGAAACACCCACGUGGUCUACAAACUUACCUGCGCACUGG
rnacentral:lncRNA from 1 species